ACAAUCUUCAUCACACAAGACAAAACAACAACAAUGAACAACAUCAUCAUCCUCAUCUGGACACUCACACUGUUUGCUCGAGAGAGUAGAGGACAGAUCACUGUAACUCAGAGUCCAUCAUUAAUAACAGCAGCUCAAGGACAAGAAGUCAGAAUAAACUGUAAAACCAGCAGUAGAGUGCAUAAUGGUGUUUAUUUAGCCUGGUACUUACAGAAACCUGGAGAAGCUCCUAAACUCCUCAUAUAUGCUGCAACAUACCGUUACACUGGAACUUCAUCUAGAUUCAGUGGCAGUGGAUCUGACAGUGAUUUCACUCUCACCAUCAGUGCAGUCCAGACUGAAGAUACAGGAGACUAUUACUGUCAGAGCUUUCACUAUCCAAACAGUAAAUAUGUGUUCACACAGUGA